rnacentral:rRNA from 1 species
CAAGCAGCGGAGCGUUGUGGUUUAAUUCGAGCUACACGAAGAACCUUACCAGGGUUUGACGAUGUCACGUGGUAGGAAUCCGAAAGGUGACCGACCCUUCGGGGAGCGUGCACAGGUGCUGCAUGGCUGUCGUCAGCUCGUGUUGUGAAAUGUUGGGUUUAAGUCCCGCAACGAGCGCAACCCUUAUCCUUUGUUGCCAGCGGUCCGGCCGGGAACUCAAAGGAGACUGCCAGUGAUAAACUGGAGGAAGGUGGGGAUGACGUCAAGUCAUCAUGGCCCUUACGACCAGGGCUACACACGUGCUACAAUGGCGCAUACAAAGAGAAGCGACCUCGCGAGAGCAAGCGGACCUCAUAAAGUGCGUCGUAGUCCGGAUUGGAGUCUGCAACUCGACUCCAUGAAGUCGGAAUCGCUAGUAAUCGUGGAUCAGAAUGCCACGGUGAAUACGUUCCCGGGCCUU